rnacentral:rRNA from 1 species
CCUACGGGUGGCUGCAGUGGGGGAUAUUGGACAAUGGGGGGAACCCUGAUCCAGCGACGCCGCGUGAGUGAAGAAGCAUUUUGGUAUGUAAAGCUCUGUUAGCAGGGAAGAAAGCAAUGACGGUACCUGACCAAGAAGCUCCGGCAAACUAGGUGCUAGCAGCCGCGGUAAUACGUCGGGGGCAGGCGUAAUCCGGAAUUACUGGGUGUAAAGGGGGGGUCGUCGGCUGGGGAAGUCUGGGGUGAAAGGCGGGGGCUAAACCCCCGGACGGCUCUUGAUACUGUAUGGCUGGAGUGCAGGAGAGGUAAGCGGAAUUCCUGGUGUAGCGGUGAAAUGCGUAGAUAUUAGGAGGAACACCAGUGGCGAAGGCGGCUUACUGGACUGUAACUGACGUUGAGGCUCGAAAGCGUGGGGAGCAAACAGGAUUAGAUACCCCAGUAGUC